CCGCAAAGAUACCCGGCGCCGCGCUUACCUCGCAGUCCUCGUACUUGAUAUUAUCCGUCAGUUUCCAAAGCAUUUUCAUGGAUCGGCGUGAACGGAUUUGCCCCCUUCUCCGCCUCGCACCCAAGUGGAGCUACUCUCUGGCUCUUUACCAACAGCCUAAUCGCCUCAUUAGCAUAUCAACAAUAGUCCAAUUGCUCGCCAGCACCGCAAUCUGCGGCCGGCCGCUCCGACCCAGGUAUAAAGGCCUCUCCAAGCCGCGAACUUGCUCCUAGAGCGCACGCCUGCCUGUGAGCGGACGGAAUCUCCCCGGAGACCAGCCGCGCGCCCCUGCCCCAGUCAUCCCCCAGCCCCCGCCGCUGCCCCAUUCCACCCCACUCCCCUUCCUCUCCGUCUCCUCCUCCAGGGAGAUGCCCUCCGCAACAACAACAACAACAACAACAACAAAAAACCUGCACUGUGCAGGGUCCGAGCGGCUGCGCCUGGGGCCCAGCUUUCAGCACCUCUCCCUCACCCCUACCACCGCUAACCGCGCGGUGCUUUCGGCCCCGUCCAAUUUUAUUAGAAAUUAUUAUCCCUUUCGCAAUUAAAUAUAAUCACCAAACCAAGACCGGCAAAGUCACUCCAGGAUUUUUGCCCAACAAGAGAUCGCCUCCGCUCGCGGCAGCCUCCACCUCGGGCCCCAGCGCCUUGGGAGUUUUAUUGGCUUUGCGCUCCCCCCCCCCCACCCCCAAGUUGAAGAUUUUGCCAAACGGCUCCAGUGGCUCGGCUGGGGUUUGCGAUCCUUUAAUUGCCGCGUGUAAAAUAAAAAUUGUACCCUGAAGAGGUUAGUUGACAGCUCCAGGGGUUAAAUGAUUUUCCUCUCGUUUGUAUGAAGCUAGAGCUGACUGAUAAUUCAACGUGGUGUUUGGGCUAAGGGUUUCCUAGGUGCGAUGUGGACAAAAUACAGAACUCCUAUGGAGUCUCACAGUCGCUUCUGGAGUCGAGCCGAUAUACCGACAUGUGUGCGCCGUGUCAUUCAUGCAUCAAAAUAAAUCGCUGGGAACCAACUCUUCGCUGUGCUAAUCUGCUCCAGUUUUCCCAAGAUCCCCCUUUUUAAUUAAAGCAGGGAGAGUUCCUUCAUGAUUUGGUGAUGUUACUAAAGCGGGCGCGCUCGCGGCGCAGUGCCCGGCUGACGCGGAACCCGGAGGCCCCGGGGCCACCCCCGAGUCCAGGUUGGCCAGUCUGGGCUCUCCGGCUCCACACAGGGACCUGCUCGCCCCACCGGGGCUUAUUAUUAUUAUUAUUAUUAUUAUCAUUAUUAUUAUUUUCUCUCUCUGCUGUUUUAGUAAAUUAUUUUAAGGGAGAAACUAACAAGAAAGACGUGAUGUAAUCCUUCGAAAUACAGAGUAAUUAAUUUCUCUG